UACGUAGGGUGCGAGCGUUAAUCGGAAUUACUGGGCGUAAAGGGUGCGUAGGCGGCUUUCUAAGUCUGAUGUGAAAUCCUGGGGCUCAACCCUGGAACUGCAUUGGAUACUGGGAGGCUAGAGUACUGGAGAGGAAACUGGAAUUUACGGUGUAGCAGUGAAAUGCGUAGAGAUCGUAAGGAAGACCAGUGGCGAAGGCGAGUUUCUGGACAGUUACUGACGCUGAGGCACGAAGGCCAGGGGAGCAAACGGG
rnacentral:rRNA from 1 species